GGAAAGGUGGCUGAGUGGUUUAAAGCACACGCUUGGAAAGCGUGCACAUAUAAAGUAUGUCGGGGGUUCAAAUCCCCCCUUUUCCG
rnacentral:tRNA from 1 species